rnacentral:lncRNA from 9 species
GCCCCGGCCUGCGCAGACGGUUCAGUCCAGACGCGUAUGGGAGGAACACCUAAUAUCACGCCUCUCUACGCUUCAGUUUCUCCAGCUCUGCUCCGCAGACGGUGGUAUUUACAAAUCUUUUAUAUAUGGUGGCUGUUAUUACUGGGAAUCCUGAUAGGUUUCAGGAAAGAGGGCAUUAACUUUUAUUCCUUCAAUUCUUGGUCAGUAACACCCGGCGUCAGCCCGGUCCACAUUUGCAGCAUCCUACAGGUUUCUCUUAGAGAAUAAAUGAAUAUACUUUAUAGAUAAUAAUCUCUCUACCCAAAGACUAGGUCAAAAAUUCAGUCCCCAGGAAUAAAAGAUAUAUUUAAAAAAAAAUACACAAAAAUACAAAAAACUGAAAAUUUCCUGACAUCCAUUUCAGUUACUUUAAAAUUGUUUUACUGCAUAGUGUGCCUUAGGCACUUUCACCUAAUCAUCAGCUCAUGUCUGUGAGAUUGAUAUGUUUUUUUCUGCGGAAGGAGACUUCAAAGAAAUGCAUUUUGGCUGUGGGCUGCUCUGUGCGACUCCCUCAAAUCCUGUUACAGUUUGGAGGGCAUUCAGGUGUGAGCACUCAUUCGCACGUGGAUCAGGGAGUGGGAAUUUUAGAGCGAGCCCAGUGAGGAAGAGAGGUAGUUCUGAAACCUUAGUGGGGCUCCACUAAUUAAGUAGUGCGAGAAGGAGUUUUGAAUUAAGUUAGGAAAGUUUAGUCAAUUUUUUUUGUGCAUAAGAGGAAGAAGUUUCCAAUGGAGUAAAAUGGACAGUUCUCCUCCCGCCUCCCCCCCCCCCCCCCAGGUGCUUAGAGGUGUCAGUUGCCUGUGGAGUCAGAGAACCUACCUGGAUUGGUUCUGUACCAGGAGCCCUUAAUCAAUAGAAUUGACAAGAGGCCAGAAAAGAAAUUCAGGCAAAGCUUUAUUGGGACUUGCAGCAGAAGGAAGUGAAAACAAGGAACAGGUGCCCUUGCUCUCGGCCUGAGUGGGGGCGACCUGCUUCCUUAUGCGGGUUGAGGAGAGGGGUGGGUCCUGCAUCAACCCGGGCAAUGGCUUAGGUGGUCUGACCACCCCCUCCGUGUGCAGGGUGCCGGAGAGUAGCCGGGUCUUGCUCUGGGCUCCUUAGAAGUGGCACUUGGGUUUUUGGUCUCUUUGUAUCUUGUUCAUAAUUUGCCCCAACUGGGCAAGAAGGCAGCAGUGUUUUUAGUUUUUAGUUUCUUGGUAUCUUGUUGCUAGAGGAGAUGUUUGUCUGGGUGUAAGCACUGCUGCAAAGGGUCCCAGGUCCCGGCCUGUCUCAGAUUUGCAGGCCAGAUUACAUGUUUGUACUAGGAAUCGGGGCUAAAUGAAAGAAUCCAUGUGGCCUUGCUAGCUUUGGGGGGUUGGGAGCAACAGGAGGAAGUGUUUAUUUUCAAGUGAAUAGAACCACCUGGGUUUCUAUUUAAGAUCCCAGAGAAAGUUGUGGAACUGCAUAUCAGACGCCAGAAGGAGAAACACUUUGGAGUGUUUUGGAUAUUUGUAAUUUUUCUGCAUUUGUUCUUGUAAUAUGUGUUUUUUUCCACAGUCACUGGAGGGAAAAUUGUUAAACCAGUAAGAUUCUUGAGAGCACCAAAGCUCAUCACUAAUCUAAGAAGCAGUCGGCACUGUAGGACUGUAGUUGAAUGGUGGUAUCGGAGGUUGUGGUCAUGUUAGGUGGCAGAUUUGAAGGAAAAGGGAGACCUGAGUGGUCCUGGAGGAGGGACCUCUGGGCUUUUGGACAAAGAGCAAGGGUAGUGACUGUGACCACAGCUGUGGCAUGGACAGGGCAGGAAGAAGUCCUCUGCGGGGCUCUCAUUGAAUUCCUCUCCAGCUCCUCCAACCCCUUUCCCUCCCUUUUCAACCUCAGUGGACUAGAGGGAUAAGCCCAGCUCCUUCAGUGUAGGGCUGGACCUUCCUGCUGUCCCCUGUCAUCUCUAUCCCCGUAACAGGAUGCAGCCCCCCACCCCCCCCACUUUGGGAGCUGGCCCUUUGUUGAAAUCGUAGUUGAGUUCAGUUUAACAGUUACAAAGCUGGAAAUGCUUUGUAGGAAAGCAUCUUAGCCAAGACUGAAAUACCCCGACAGAGUGCCUAUUAGGGACGGUUAAGACCAUGUGGGGGCUCAGCAGGUGCUGUGUGUAAUCACAGCUGUCUGGCUCUUUUUAGAGUGAAGACUGGAAGGUCCUUUCCUGACCACUGACUGAGUGGACGGGUAAGGAAAUGAAGACCCAGAGAAAUAAAAUGAUUAGCUCAAGAUUGCUUGACUAUUAGUGGCAGUGAUGAAAAAAGAAAGUUAAUGUUCUGGUCAAAGCCUUUUGGUCACACUUGAGCCUGGUUAAGAUGAAGGCUGGGAAGUGGAAGUACAGCUGUGUCCACACAAAAGGCAGAACCGGCAAGUCUAGGGGCCUGAAUCUUACCUUGUGGGGAUGUGUUGGGAUGUGUUGUGAUGUGUUGCAGGUUGUGUUAACAAGCAGGGUUCCUGGCUUACCAAAGGCCAGCAAGGAAAUCCAGGCAAGGCUUCGGGGACUUGGAGCAGGAGGGAGUGAAGACAGGUAACAGGUGCCCUGGCUUGUCCCUGAGUGGGGAGCAGAUUUCUCAGAUGGUGUGAGGGUGGGGCUGGAGCAGUGGCUUAGGCGAUCUGCCCACCCCCUUGGUGGUGCUGGGUGCAGGGUUAUGUGAGCAGUACUCUGCUUCGGCUCCGGCUCCUCAGAGGAGGCAGUUGUGUUUUUGGUCUUUUUGUUUCCUGUUGUUCAUAACUUUUUUUUUGCAUAAUAAUAAUGCAUUCAGUUAUUUUUAGUCCCUUGUGGUUUCUCCAUGUUUUGUUACUGGAGAAGACAUUUGUCCAGGUGCAGAAAGUGCGACAAAGGGUCCCAGGUUUCGGCCUGUCUCCUUCCCCCCUGAGGGACCCCACACCCCUUAUUCUUAAGGAUUAGGGGCCAGUGUUCUCUUCUUCUGGAACUUCUUCCUGCUGGACAGACCCCAGCCCACCCUAGAGGAAUAGCAGUCCCUCGAGGACUGUUGCAAGGACCUGGAGGGACCUGGCCCACCCUUUACUGGAAUGGGUUGAAUUCUUUGAGCCAUCAUGAGCCCUGCUUGAAACUGUUGGAGCCUAGAAGAGUUAGCUAAAAGCUUCAACAAGGGCCGAAAAGGAGAAGAGCAACAUUAGCCACUGAAGGGCCUAGAAGGGGAAGGAACCAGGUUGGCUUUGGGAGGGCUUCCUAAACUGACGACCUGACGGUGGGGGUGAUGUCGCUCCCUCCAAGAAGGUGAUGUCCCUGGCUGGCGGCGUCGUUCCUUGAUGUUAACUUGCACCUGUGCUGUCGCGUUGAUCUGGGUGCAGCAGGCAGAAUGGUUAUAGCACACAGACUCCACCGUAUUCUGUCAGAAGGGAACCGAGCUAGAGGAUUGUCGAGAGCUACACUAGCCCAAGAGAUGAGAGGUCUUGAGUCCUGUUAAGGCUUGUCCUGUCCCGUCAUAUAACCAAGCUGUCUGCUGAGAUUUCUCAGGGUUGCUUCAUGACGGGGAAAUCCUCUGCCUGGAGCUGCCAGUCCUGCGGCCGCCCUGCCCCUGCUGGGAUCCUUCCUGGCGCGCUUUGGGCUCCCGAGUGAGCUGCAGUGGUGCUGGGACGGAGGAGCCCCUCUUAGUCCGGCAGUCCCGCAGCGCCCUCUGUGAAGUGGACGUCAGCACUGUGCUUACAGGCUGUAGUUUGGCAGGAAAAGGACAGCGCCUGCCUUUAAUUCCACCACAUGUGAUGGUGUGUGAAGAGGAAGACAAAACCUUGGGUCAACCCGAAGGUCUGUCUCGUGGAUGUUAAGAGCAGACAGUCCUUGAAGGACAUGCUGUUGGGGACAGCAGACCAUUGUGUUGUAAUUAAGUGUAUAAAGCUCUCCAUACAGCAUCUUUAACAACAUACUCCUGUGUGAUCCCGCCGACAUGGAAGUAAGAGUUCUAACUAGAAAAACCCCCACCUCGCCCCAGGUGAAAAGGCAGCUCUGGUGUCCAUCAGCAGCUUGGCUCGCCACACGCCACCCUUCUCGUAAUCAUGUACCAACUACGUGCCCUAUGUCCUUGCUAGCAGCCCUGCUAACCGUGCUGCAAGCAUUGCUUAUCAGCUUCUUGGGCAGGAACUCUCUCUGCCCGGAGAAGGGGGAGGGCUGGGGCUGCUUGCAUAGGAAUAUCUUAAGACCCCAGAGUAUGGUAUAAAAGUUACCCAGAAAAAAGACCUGGUGCUCAGACUCUGGAAGUGACUUCUCUGAGCCCGCACCAGGGCCGAAUAAACCUUGCUAUCCCCAAUCUCCGAGUGCCGUUUGUCUCUUUCCGCUGCCACAGUUUCUGCAGCGUCAGAGGGUCUUACUCAAUAGCCCAGAUCACUGUUUGCCUGGAGCCCACAGGCAGGUUGAAUUGUGUUGACCAGGGGGAUGGGAUAUUUCCCUCCCACUACUCACAUUCCUCUUCUGUGUUGUUGACGGCACGGGGCCAUUUUUUUCAACUCAGUGAAUUUUGUUACAGUUAAGAGUUGUACAACCAUCAUCACAACCCAGUUUUACAGCUUUUCCAUCCAAACGCCCAGCCCAUCCUCCCUCUCCCUCCUAAAAACUGUCUCCUUUGAUAACCAUUAGGUUUUCAAGUCUGUGAGUCAGUUUCUGUUUGGCAAAGAAGUUCAUGGUAUCCUUUUUUUCAGAUUGCACAUAUAAGUGAUAGCAUAUGAUGUUUGUGUCUCACUGUCUGACCAACUUCACUUAGAAUGAUAAUUUCUGGGUCCAUCUAUGUUGCUGCAAAUGCCAUUAUUUCAUUCUUUGUUAUGGCUGAGUAGUAUUCCAUUGUGUAUAUGUACCACAUCUUUAUCAACUCCCCUGUCAAAGGACAUUUAGUUUGCUUCCAUCUUGGCUAAUGUAAAUAGUGCUGCAGUGAUCAUUGGGGUACACGCAUCUUUUCAAAUUAUGGUUUUCUCUGGAUAGAUGCCCAGGUGUAGGAUUGCUGGGUCACAUGGUAGUUCUUAUUUUUAGUCUUUUUGAGGAACCUCCAUACUGUUUUCCAUAGUGGUUGCACCAGUUUACAUUCCCACCAACAGUGUAAGAGGGUUCCCUUUUCUCCACACCGUCUCCCUCUACAGCAUUUAUUGUUUGUAGACUUUUUGUUGAUGGCCAUUCUGGCUGGUGUAAGAUUGUACCUCAUAGUAGUUUUGAUUUGCAUUUCUCUAAUAAUUAAUGAUGUUGAACAUCUUUUCACGUUUUUAUUUUUGCCAUCUGUAUGUUGUCUUUGAAAAAUUGUCUGUUUAGAUCUUCUGCCCUUUUUUGAUGUGUUGUUUGUUUUUUGGUAUUGAGCUGCAGGAAGUAUUUGAAUAUUUUGGAGAUUAAUCACUUGUCAGUUGCUUUGUUUGCAAAUACUUUUUCCAAUUCUCUGGGUUGUCUUUUCAUUUUGUUUAGGGUUUCUUUUGCUGUGCAGAAACAUUUAAGUUUAAUUAGGUCCCAUUUGUUUGUUUUUAUUGUUAUUAUGCUAGGAGGUGGAUCUGAGAAGAUAUUGCUGUGGUUUAAGUCAGAGGGUGUUUGGCCUAUGUUUUCCUCUAAGAGUUUUACAGUAUCUGGUCUUAAAUUUAGGUCUUUAAUCCAUUUUGAGUUUAUUUUUAUACACAAAAAUGGUGUUAGGAAGUAUUCUAAUUUGAUUCUUUUACAUGUAGCUGUCCAGUUUUCCCAGUACCACUUAUUAAGGAACUGCCAUUUCUCCAUUGUAUAUUCUUGCCUCCUUUGUCAUAGAUUAGUUGACCAUAGGUUCGUGGGUUUAAUUCUGGGCUAUCCUGUUUCAUUGAUCUAUAUUUCUGCUUUUGUGCCUGUACCAUACGGUUUUGACGACUGUUGCUUUGUAGUAUGGUCUGAAAUCAGGGAGCUUGAUUACUUUAGCUCCAUAUGGAAGGGUUUGAAUUGGAGCUGCAGCUGGCGGCCUAUACCACAGCCACAGCAGUGUCAGGUCUGAGCCGUGUCUGCAACCUACACCACAGCUCAUAGCAAUGCCAGAUCCUUAACCCAAUGAGUGAGGCCAGGGAUUGAACCCACAUCCUCGUGGGUACUAGUUGGAUUUGUUCCUGCUGAGCCACGAUGGCAACUGCCCAAACUUAAAAAUAUUUUGUUCUGGAGUUCCCGUCGUGGCGCAGCGGUUAACGAAUCCGACUAGGAACCAUGAGGUUGUGGGUUCGGUCCCUGCCCUUGCUCACUGGGUUAACGAUCCGGCGUUGCCGUGAGCUGUGGUGUAGAUUGCAGACUCGGCUCGGAUCCUCCGUUGCUGUGGCUCUGGUGUAGGCUGGCAGCUACAGCUCCGAUUAGACCCCUAGCCUGGGAACCUCCAUAUGCUGCGG